rnacentral:rRNA from 1 species
CUGCUGCCUUCCGUAGGAGUUUGGGCCGUGUCUCAGUCCCAAUGUGGCCGUUCACCCUCUCAGGCCGGCUACUGAUCGUCGCCUUGGUGGGCUGUUACCCCGCCAACAAGCUAAUCAGACGCGGAUCCAUCGUAUACCACCGGAGUUUUUCACACCGUCUCAUGCGAGACUGUGCGCUUAUGCGGUAUUAGCACCUAUUUCUAAGUGUUAUCCCCCAGUAUACGGCAGGUUUUCCACGCGUUACUCACCCGUCCGCCA